rnacentral:rRNA from 1 species
GACGAACGCUGGCGGCGUGCUUAACACAUGCAAGUCGAACGGAAAGGCCCUGCUCUUGUGGGGUGCUCGAGUGGCGAACGGGUGAGUAACACGUGAGUAACCUGCCCCUGACUUUGGGAUAACUUCAGGAAACUGGGGCUAAUAUCGGAUAGGAGCUCCUGCUGCAUGGUGGGGGUUGGAAAGUUUCGGCGGUUGGGGAUGGACUCGCGGCUUAUCAGCUUGUUGGUGGGGUAGUGGCUUACCAAGGCUUUGACGGGUAGCCGGCCUGAGAGGGUGACCGGCCACAUUGGGACUGAGAUACGGCCCAGACUCCUACGGGAGGCAGCAGUGGGGAAUAUUGCACAAUGGGCGGAAGCCUGAUGCAGCAACGCCGCGUGCGGGAUGACGGCCUUCGGGUUGUAAACCGCUUUCGCCUGUGACGAAGCGUGAGUGACGGUAAUGGGUAAAGAAGCACCGGCUAACUACGUG